UCCCUAGUGUCUUAGUUGGUAAAGAAUCUGCCUGCAAUGCAGGAGACCCGAGUUGGAUCCUUGGGUUGGGAA
rnacentral:tRNA from 1 species